rnacentral:snoRNA from 1 species
AUCAAUGAUGUAAACAAGUUUCAAUGAACAAAUGUGAUUUUAUAACAAUAUUCGUCACUACCUCUGAGAUU